rnacentral:snRNA from 1 species
GUGCUCGUUUCGGCAGCACAUAUACUGGAGUUGGGACGAUACAGAGAAGAUUAGCAUGGCCCCUGCGCAUGGAUGACAUGCAAAUUCGUGAAGCGUUCCAUAUUUAA